UACGGAGGGGCUAGCGUUAUUCGGAAUUACUGGGCGUAAAGCGCACGUAGGCGGCUUUGUAAGUCAGAGGUGAAAGCCUGGAGCUCAACUCCAGAACUGCCUUUGAGACUGCAUCGCUUGAAUCCAGGAGAGGUGAGUGGAAUUCCGAGUGUAGAGGUGAAAUUCGUAGAUAUUCGGAAGAACACCAGUGGCGAAGGCGGCUCACUGGACUGGUAUUGACGCUGAGGUGCGAAAGCGUGGGGAGCAAACAGG
rnacentral:rRNA from 1 species